rfam:Clostridium phytofermentans ISDg, complete genome.
UUAUAAAUUUAGCAAACUAAUUGAAAGAUUAGGACGCAAAGCUAUGGGUCUAAGGAUAUCAUAAUAUCAACGAUUGCCAGGUUACAGAA